GAUGAACGCUGGCGGCGUGCCUAACACAUGCAAGUCGAGCGGACAGACGAGGCUUUUGCUCGGCUUACGUGAGGGGCGGGCGGGUGAUUCACACGAGUAUACCCUACCUAUAAGACUGAGAUCACUUCGGGACAGCGGAUAUAACACCCGAUAAGAUGGUGAACCGCGGGGUUCAUCGGACAAAGCCGGCUUUGCUGGCACUAAUAGCGGGUUACGAGUUGGAUUAGCUAGUUGGUAAGGUAACGGCUUACCAAGGCUACGAUGCGUAGCCGACCUGAGAGGGUGAUCGGCCACACUGGAACUGAGACACGGUCCAGACUCCUACGGGAGGCAGCAGUAGGGAAUAUUAGGCAAUGGGCGAAAGCCUGACGGAGCAACGCCGCGUGAGUGAAGAAGGUCUUCGGAUCGUAAAGCUCUGUUAUUAGGGAAGAACAAAUGUGUAAGUAAACAUGGCCGUCUUGACGGUACCUAAUCAAAAAGCAACGGCUAACUACGUG
rnacentral:rRNA from 1 species